GACGAACGCUGGCGGCGUGCCUAAUACAUGCAAGUCGAACGCAGUGGGCACGGGUGAGUAACACGUGGGUAACCUCCCAUCAGAGGGGAUAACACUUGGAAACAGGUGCUAAACCGCUACUGAUGGAUGGACCCGCGGUGCAUUAGCUAGUUGGUGAGGUAACGGCUCACCAAGGCCACGAUGCAUAGCCGGCCUGAAAGGGGGAGCGGCCACACUGGAACGGAGACACGGCCCAGACUCCUACGGGAGGCAGCAGUAGGGAAUCGUCGGCAAUGGAAGAAAGUCUGACCGAGCAAGGCCGCGUGAGUGAAGAAGGUUUUCGGAUCGUAAAACUCUGUUGGUAGAGAAGCGGUAUCCAACCAGAAAGCCACGGCUGACUACGUGCCAGCCGCCGCGGUAAUAC
rnacentral:rRNA from 1 species